AUUUACUGAACUAACUCACAAAAGAACAUCGGAUGGAGCCUUACAGCAUAUCGACAGAUGGUUCUUCAGUGGGAGUGGUGCAUGUGAUCUUUUGACCUCAGAUCACCAUGGUACCUUUUGAGCAUGAAUCCUUAUUUUGAUUUAUUCUUUAACAUAUCACUUUGAAAUGUGUAUGGGAUAUUUUGAGUAUAGCAAAGUAUGCAU
rnacentral:lncRNA from 1 species